rnacentral:rRNA from 1 species
GGGAAUAUUGGACAAUGGGCGAAAGCCUGAUCCAGCAAUGCCGCGUGUGUGAAGAAGGUCUUCGGAUUGUAAAGCACUUUCGACGGGGACGAUGAUGACGGUACCCGUAGAAGAAGCCCCGGCUAACUUCGUGCCAG